rnacentral:lncRNA from 1 species
GGGAAUUAUUGGAUUGAUUGAUGUUUUAGAAAAGUGAAAUGAGGAAGUCUCAGCGGCGACAGGAGGAAGGGUGACUGGAAAGUAUUCUUAGCAAGCUAGCAUAAAGCAUUAGGUAGCAUGCUGUGUAUGUGGAGUAGUGUGAGUCAAUGCUGUUUUAGGACAGUGACUACUGGGUAUGUGGUGUAGUGUGAGUCGAUGCUGUUUUAGGACAGUGACUAUUGGGUAUGUGGUGUAGUGUGAGUCGAUGCUGUUUUAGGACAGUGAGUGCUGGGUAUGUGGGAUAAGGCUACAGAGACUUCCACCUCAGAUUUCAUAAAGGGGCGAAGGUCUACUAAACCCAUAACUCGAUGUGACAGUGGUUACCUAUUUUAUUUAUCAGAGUGGCUGUGGUUCCGGUUGAUUCUGCUAUGGCUAAAGAUACGGAUAUUUCUGUGCAUGUUCAGGAUUUUUAUUUUAACGUAGCUGCUGUCCACUCUGCUGCUGUCCACUCUGAUGUCUAUGUAGCUGCUGUCCACUCUGCUGCUGUCCACUCUGCUGCUGUCCGCUCUGAUGUCCGAGUAGCUGCUGUCCACUCUGCUGCUGUCCACUCUGGUGUCUAUGUAGCUGCUGUCCACUCUAGUGUCUAUGUAGCUGCUGUCCACUCUGCUGCUGUCCACUCUGAUGUCUAUGUAGCUGCUGUCCACUCUGCUGCUGUCCACUCUGAUGUCUAUGUAGCUGCUGUCCAUUCUGAUGUCUAUGUAGCUGCUGUCCACUCUCCUGCUGUCCACUCUGCUGCUGUCUGCUCUGAUGUCUAUGUAGCUGCUGUCCACUCUGAUGUCUAUGUAGCUGCUGUCCACUCUGAUGUCUAUGUAGCUGCUGUCCACUCUGAUGUCUAUGUAGCUGCUGUCCACUCUGAUGUCUAUGUAGCUGCUGUCCACUCUGAUGUCUAUGUAGCUGCUGUGCUGAGUGUUCUGAUUCCGUCCCUGCCUCCUUGAUCACUGGUGUAGCCUGCAAACUUCAUGUGGUACGCAAAACUGUUCUAACUAUUGCAUUCCAUGCCUCAGUAAGCGUAAGUGCGAAUUUACAUAAAUUUUUUCAGAAGGGGAGUAGGCUACAUGCGGUAUACAU